rnacentral:rRNA from 1 species
UACGUAGGGACCAAGCGUUGUCCGGAAUCAUUGGGCGUAAAGAGCGUGUAGGCGGCUUGUUAAGUCUUGCGUGAAAUCUCGGGGCUCAACCCCGAGCGGUCGUGAGAAACUGGCAGGCUAGAGUGCGGGAGAGGAGAGUGGAAUUCCUGGUGUAGCGGUGAAAUGCGCAGAUAUCAGGAAGAACACCCGUGGCGAAGGCGGCUCUCUGGAACGCAACUGACGCUGAGACGCGAAAGCGUGGGAGCAAACAGG